UACGUCGGGGGCAAGCGUUGUCCGGAAUCAUUGGGCGUAAAGAGCGUGUAGGCGGCCCGGUAAGUCCGCUGUGAAAGUCGGGGGCUCAACCCUCGAAUGCCGGUGGAUACUGUCGGGCUAGAGUGCGGAAGAGGCGAGUGGAAUUCCUGGUGUAGCGGUGAAAUGCGCAGAUAUCAGGAGGAACACCAAUUGCGAAGGCAGCUCGCUGGGACGUAACUGACGCUGAGACGCGAAAGCGUGGGGAGCAAACAGG
rnacentral:rRNA from 1 species